UCAUGGCAAAAUGCAUGGUGCACUGAGCUCU
rnacentral:piRNA from 1 species